GGAGUUUUCAAAACAAGAAAUGCCUUGUCAUCCAGAUUUUACUGGCCAGGAAUGAUGGUUGAUAUUUUGAAAUGGGUAGCUGAGUGUGACAGAUGUCAAAAGAUUGGUAAACCACUUGUGGUCGAUUCAACACUGCAGAGUAUUCAGGUUUCAACAGUAUGGGAAUUGGUGGGGAUUGGUUUAACUGGGACUUUGCCGCAGACUGCUGAUGGAUACCAGUAUAUAUUAACCGCUACAGACUACUUCACAAAAUGGGUCAAAGCUUUUCCACUAAAAACAAAGACUGUGAAGGAAGUUGCAAAGUGUCUGUGCACUAUAGUAUAUCGACAUGGCUGUCCUCUCCAAAUCCUCUCAGAUCAAGGAAGAGAGUUUGUUAAUGAAGGCUCUUGCAAAACUCGUUGAUGAUCAUCAGAAUGAUUGGAACAUCUACUUGGAUGCCAUUUUGUUUUCACUCAGAUCAAAAGUCCAUACAAGUACAAAGUUUAGCCCUUUCUUUCUGAUGUAUGGAAGAGGCAAGAUUUCCUUCUGAAGUACCAGAAGAA